UACGUAGGGGGCUAGCGUUAUCCGGAUUUACUGGGCGUAAAGGGUGCGUAGGUGGUUUCUUAAGUCAGGAGUGAAAGGCUACGGCUCAACCGUAGUAAGCUCUUGAAACUGGGAAACUUGGAGUGCAGGAGUGGAAAGUGGAAUUCCUAAGUGUAGCGGUGAAAUGCGUAGAUAUUAGGAGGAACACCAUGU
rnacentral:rRNA from 1 species